rnacentral:rRNA from 1 species
GAUCAUGGCUCAGGACGAACGCUGGCGGCGCGCCUAACACAUGCAAGUCGAACGGAGUCAAGAGGAGCUUGCUUUUCUUGACUUAGUGGCGAACGGGUGAGUAACGCGUGAGUAACCUGCCCUGGAGUGGGGGACAACAGUUGGAAACGACUGCUAAUACCGCAUAAGCCCACGGCCCGGGCAUCGGGCUGCGGGAAAAGGAUUUGUUUGUCUUCAGGAUGGACUCGCGUCCAACUUAAGCUAGUUUGGUUGG